rnacentral:sRNA from 1 species
GAAGACCUGGAAGAGGGCAGGCGUGAGCAACCAUGGCCGGGCAGCACCUCCCGGUACCCCGGCUGGAGGGCGUUUCUCGGGAGCAGUUCAUGCAGCACCUCUACCCACAGAGAAAACCUCUUGUGUUGGAAGGGAUUGAUUUGGGGCCAUGUACAAGCAAAUGGACAGUGGAUUACCUAAGCCAAGUUGGAGGGAAGAAAGAAGUAAAGAUUCAUGUUGCUGCAGUUGCACAGAUGGACUUCAUUAGUAAGAACUUUGUAUAUAGGUAUUUUCUUCUGAGGUUUACUCUGGGGAUACAAAUAACUUUUUAAAAACUUUUAAAAUAUUUUUGCAUUAUUAUACAAAGACCAUAUGGCAUUUCAUCUUUUGGCUGGUUUGAUGUAAUCAUGGAAUAGCUUACUGAUUUUUAAAGAGUGGUUUUUAAAAGACAAGAGUUCUGAGUUUACAUAAUUAUACAAUGACAAUUUUUUAUUUUAUUUUUUAUUUUUUUUGAGACAGAGUUUUACUGCGUCACCCAGGCUGGAGUGCAGGUGUGUGAUUUCGGCUCACUGCAACCUCUGCCUCCUGGGUUCAAGUGAUACUCCUGCCUCAGCCUCCCGAGUAGCUGGGAUUACAGUCACGUGCCACUAUGCCUAGCUAACUUUUGUAUUUUUAGUAGAGACGGGGUUUCACCAUGUUGGCCGGGCUGGUCUCAAACUCUUGGCCUCAAGUCAUCCACCUGCCUCAGCCUCCCAAAGUGCUGGGAUUACAGGCAUGAGCCACCAUGCCUGGCCAACAAUUUUUUAAAUAGGGUAUAUACCCAAUACCUUCUGGAGUCAUGGAAGGAAGAUAAAAUUUCUGUAACUAGGGUUAGAUUUCAUACGAAGUUGGAUGUGCCAUACUCAUUCAAUGCUUGAUUAAUUAGUUGAUCCUACCACAUUAGUAACUGUUAUCUAGAAUAGGAAAUUCUAAAAGGCUCAUGUUUUCUUUUUCUGUCCUCUCCAGAAAACCAGGACAAGCUAUGUUUGGUAUAAUCUUUCAUCAUCUUAGAUAACUUUUAAAAAUCAUACUUAAUUUUCCCUUUUGAUAAAAUAGUCUUAAAUACCUUUAAUUUCUCCCAUGACUGUUAUUUUAUGCUGUGGAAUUUCUUAAAAGUAAAUAAGAAAUAGUCAAAAGCUGCUGAUUGUCUAAAGAUGAAAGUUUUAAAUGCUGUCAUCUUGCAGAUUUCAUUUGCUAUUUAUUCCCAUGAGUUUCAUUUAAAUUGUUAAAUUAAAAACAAACAGCUUUCAAACUCUGAGCAUGUGAAGUUCCCAGCAAAUUCAGUCUAUUGAAAAACCAUGUAGUUCACAAGACUUCAAUUUAGAGAUGAGUUAAAUAGAGCUUCUAAUGUCCACAGCCAUUCCUUUCUCAUUAGAGUUUUCCAAGUUCAUAUAGCAGCUGCCAAAGCAUUGCUCAGUUUUUAAUCCUUUGAAUAUUCACCAUAAUGGUUUUAGUUAUUAAUAGUCCAUGAAUUGAAUUUAAUUGACUUAAGUUUUUCCAAGUGUAGGAACUUUUCAUUUUUUAUCAAAUUAAAAAUGCCAGAAUGAUGAGUGUUUUUCAGCUGGCAGUUAAUGAUGUUUAUUUUCCAGGGAGUCCAAUGCCAUAACAAAUGAGUACUGAAACUUCAUCUUGAAUUGCCUUGAUGUUUUGUCAUGUCUUUUUAAACUUUUCAAAAGUUGUUUUUGAAGCACAUACAUUAUGUAAUAGUUCCUAUCGCAGCUUCCUCCAAGCCUUUCACUAGAGCUACUAAAAAGUUGCAAGAUUAUUUUUUUUAGUGCAACCAAAAAAAUAGGUUUAGUCAUUUUUAGCAUUUACCAGGCAGUAAGAAAGAAGGAAUGCAUCCAGGCCAAAGAGAGACUAGAAAGUAAGAAACCCUGCAGACACAUGUAUAUUAUUAUUAUCACUUCAAAUUGAGGUUGCUUUUAUGCCUUAUCAAACAUUGGAAGAUUGAUACGUUAACAGGUAUGAACUUUUACUUCUUUCUUAUUGGUAGCGCUCAUUGUUCAGAGUCAGGAGAGUCUGGACAAAAGAACCUUGUGUGGUGAAAGGAUAUUGUUGGCAUUCUUCUGAUCAUAGAUUUUUAAAAAAAGUCUCAUCAUGUAAGGUUUGCCACAUCUUCCUGUCACAUCCUGUAAUUCCUGUCAUCAUCGUGCUCUUGUUUAUUGUACUCUCAUCAGUUCUGAUCUUGAUUUUAUAAAGCAGCCUUUUCCAAAUGGGGAAUAAGACAGUGAAGGGCUUUCUUCUUCUUUUUCAAAAUGUUGAUGACUACUUGCGUGCUGCAAAAGGGUACAUUAUCAUUGUUGUUAACCCCACCAUCUGUCCUUUACUGAGUACUUAUUAUAUAUCAGCUACUGUGCCAAGCAAUCUAGGUUAUAUUACUCAUUUAAACUUCAGAACAAUCUGUGAGGUAGAUAUUUUUAAUAAUAAUUUCACAGAUGAGGAAAGAGAGGUUUAAAAAUAUUAAGUAACUUCUCCAGGAUCACAUAGCUUGAAGUGAUGGAACCCAAGGUGUUUACUCUAAUUUCCCUGACUCCACGGAGCCCAUGAUUAAGCCUUCUUUGACAUUACCCUCCUUACUGGUGCUGCCAGUCCAGACAAAUGGCACUUUAAUAACCAAUGCCCUUGUUUUUGAAACAUGGAUAGGAUAGAUUUUUAAAAAGCCAAAGAACUUCCCAAUUUACAUACCUAAUUUCUCCCUCAUCUGGGCUUAGUAGAAGCUAUGACAGGUACCAUUACCUAGGAGAAAAGGUUGCUGGUGACACCCCAGUUCUGCUUAUCUGGGCUGAGCUACUCUGUCUGCUCUUUCAGGGUCACUGUUCUGUUCUGUUUUUCUAAAGGUCUUGAAACACUUUUGUGUUAUCCCUGGUAAGAAAGCUAAGCCUGGUUAAAUGCAGCAAUUACAGUAGUGGCUAUGGUCCAGAUAAACUUCCCCACUGGCCCAGACUCUUCAAAGAUGCUUUGAAGAAUGAAAGCAAGAAGGAAUGAAGGGUGUAUGGUGAGGUCAGAGAUGGGAAACAUUGAGUAGGAGAAUGCCAAGUAAAUUUGUUGAUAUUAGUUAGUCAGACACUAUUUAUAGUCAAAGAAAUAGUACUCUGCAUUGGUCUGAGUAGAUGGCAGACCCCUUUUCUCUCCUGCAGUGCUCACUCUACAUAAUUACCAGCAGUGGCCUCAAGUUCAGACUGACAUACAGAGCACCCACCAAUCCAUAACCUGGCUUCAGAUUCCCUUAGCUUUUUGCGGGAGGAUAUAAGGCAGGAAACGGCAUUCUAGCAGGAUAGUAUCAGUGGAGUCUUUAUACAAAUCCAGGGAAUAUUUUUUUUACUCAUCAAGUUACAGCUUAGUUGUAAGGGAAUGAGACAAUGGAGGUAGUAUAGAAACACCUGAGCUUAGGUAAGACAUAUGGUCCAUAGAAACCGGUAGCUUGAAACACCCCAUGAACUAAGCUUCUGCGUUCCUCCAAGGGCCAUACUCAGUUAGGAGAGUUGCACUACACACAGGAAAGCCAAAUCAUCUGCUUCUGAACAAGUAUUUGUAGUCCACUUAUAGGCCACCUGGUGCAAACAUAAUUCAUCUAUCGGGUUAUUUUUACGAUAAACAGUGUUACCUGAUAUCACAACUGACAUUCCACAUUUAUCUUUAAUUUUUUUUAUUUAACAUAAUUCAUGGGUUCACACCAUGUUUGUGUUUACCCAGUAUAUUUCUGGGAAAACAGUGCAAGGAGAAAGUAAGCUGGCCCAAGGUCAUCUUCUCAUAGAGAAGGAGAAAGUAUUUAACCUUUUCUUUCGACUUUCUCAGUACAGAGUUCAAGUGGGAAGAUAUUUAGUAGUAAGACUGAAAAGAUUACAGCUUUUAAUCAGAAGUUUGGAGGCAGGAGUGUAGUAGGGGUAGCAGAGGAGAGGAUUUUGACCUAGAGGCUUUUGAGGACUUCAUUGUCUUGUUACUUAUACAGUAUCACCAUCAUUUAUAGAGCAGUACUUUUGAUUCUAGACAGUAAAGGAAUAGAUGCAAUCUGGAGUAAGAAUAUCCUUCUAGCUCAAGAGUGUGAUGUAAAGGAAACAAAUUUUGCUUCCACAGUGUUCAGCCCUGUUCAUCAGGAUGGAAGGAGACAGGCAUUUGGGCAGAAAUUUUGAAGAAUAAAAAUUGGUCACUUCACUGGAAUUCUCCUUGAGCUAUUCCUCAGAAGCCUUAAAAUGAUAGAGGGUGGUGCAGCAGGAUGAGAGCAGUGUUACUGGCUUCUGUGUUCUGUGAUAUGCCAAAAGGGAGGAAUAUGGGGGGUGGUUAUCUUCAUGGGACCAUUUGUGUACUGUGUCUUCCAAAGUAGCACUAGUAGUUUGCCCCAGUCUUCACAAGAUUUGUUUUGCCAUGACACUUAAAAACAGGUAGCAAUCACCUGAAAGUCUGUGUAUUUACAAAGGUAAUCAGAUACCAUAGUAACAUUUUUCUAUCAUAACUUGGAAUAGAAUAUUGAUCUAUUGAAAGAUCCAUCUGUAUCAUAGAUUUUGAAAUCUUUAAUUCCAAAAUUUCAGACAACUUAGAUCAAGUAAACAUACUGCUCAGUAAGUUUUGAAAAGUUAGAAUUUCACAUAAUAGGUUAUAAUAAAAAUUACAGAUAUUAUAAAACAGGAGAUUAUAUCCAACUCCAGCAAGCCUUUAUGUAUAGAGAUUAGAUUCUUACUAGUUGAUCUGUUAUUAUUAAGUCCAAGGAUUCCUUUGUGUUUAUUUCAGAACUUUACCUUUUGACCAGUUGGUCCAGAGGGCAGCUGAAGAGAAGCAUAAAGAAUUCUUUGUUUCAGAGGUAAUUGCUUUUAACAUUUUUAAAAGAAGGCAUUAAUAUCUAUAUACUAAAUGGAUUUUCUUAUGAAAGAAUAGUAGAUACACAAGAGCAAUAGCCGUCUCUGAUAGACAUUCAUAAGAUUUGGUUGGAUGCACCAGAGACUGUAGCUCUGCUAUUUAUUAGCUCUCAAACUUUGGCCAAAUUAUUUUUCUGUACUUCAGUAUACUCAUCUGUGAAAUGGGGGUGAUAAUAGUACCUAUUUUAUAAAGUGUUUGUGAGGAUUAACUAAAUAAAAUAGUAAAAUACUUAGCAGUGUGCCUGAUGUAUAGAAAUUACGCAUUAAAUGUUAGCUAUUAAUGUUACGUCCUUUUAAAAUGCUUUGGUCUGAUAUGCCAACUUCAAAUGCUAAUGGAAAACUUCAUUUUCAUAUCUAUUGACUAUUAGACUGUUUCUGUAUUCUUGUUAUCAAUGUGAUUUCUAUUGUGUAUAUUUGCUGUAAUAUUUGUUCAGGAUUAAAUGCGGAAGAAUUCUACUUAAUUAUAGUCUAGCUUUAAAUAAUUCAAUUUAAAUACCUUGAGAUAAGGCAUCAAGGCCUUGUAUAUAAAUAUGUUUUUAAAAAUUUCCUGUGUUGGUCGAGCGCAAUGGCUCACGCCUGUAAUCCCAGCACUUUGGGAGACCAAGGCGGGUGGAUCACCUGAGAUGGGGAGUUCGAGACCAGCCUGACCAACAUGGAGAAACCCAGUCUCUACUAAAAAUACAAAAUUAGCUGGCAUGGUGGCGCAUGCCUGUAAUCCCAGCUACUCAGGAGGCUGAGGCAGGCGAAUCACUUGAACCCGGGUCGCAGAGGUUGCAGUGAGCUAGAUUGCGCCAUUGCACUCUAGCCUAGGCAACAAGAGCAUAACUGUCCAAAAAAAAAAAAAAAAUUCACUGUGUUAUUCAAAAGCACAUUUUAAAAACAAAUUGCUUUUUAAUCUUUGAAUGAAGCUGUUUUCUGCAUUUGAGCCAGCUGGGCUGGGGAGUUUGGUUCUAAAAGGUGCUGCAUUUUUACAGUCCUCUUGUCAGGUGAUAGUUGUACUAGAUUACUGCCACAAUCCCCACAAACUCUGUAGGUCUGUGAUUCUGUAGUAUAACCAAAAUGUCUUUUUAAAUGGAUUCCAUUAGCUGCACCUGAGAACUGUUUUAUAACUUUAUAGCCAUGCUUUGAACAUGUAUAUUCAGUUGCCCUUUGGUACUUUCAUGUCUAAGGGUAAUCAGUGGUAUAUAUUUAAAUAGCCAUGAAAUGUGAAGUAAAAGAAAUAGACACGUGGUAAAAGAUUAAAGUCUAAAAAUCAUGGAAACUAUGUAAACAAGAUCAACUUGAACUGUCAGUUUGGUCCUCUAGGAAGCAGAUGCUGAGAUGGAAUUAGGAGUACAAAAGGCUGGCUGGGCGCGGUAGCUCACUCCUGUAAUCCCAGCACAUUGGGAGGCGGAGGCGGGCGGAUCAGGAGGUCAGGAGAUUGAGACCAUCCUGGCUAACGCGGUGAAACCCCGUCUCUACUAAAAAUACAAAAAAAUUAGCCAGGCAUGGUGGCAUACGCCUGUAGUCCCAGCUACUUGGGAGGCUGAGGCAGGAGAAUGGCGUGAACCCGGGAGGCGGAGCUUGCAGUGAGCCGAGAUUGCACCACUGCACUCCAGCCUGGGCUACAGAGCAAGACUCCGUCUCAAAAAAAAAAAAAAAAAAAGAAAUGAAAAGAAAAACAA